GGCUCAGUAAAUCAGCAAUGAUCUAUCUGAUUGUAGAGACCCAUUGGAUAACCGUGGGAAAUCUAGAGCUAAUACAUGCGUUGAAAUUACGUGGUGGGUAAAAUCAUCACGUAAAGCAUUUAUUGGUAGAAACCAACUGUUGGUGCAUGUAACAGUGUGCCAAUAUGGAUGAAUCUAGAUAACUUUGCUGAUCGUAGUGGCGUAAUAGCCGGCGACAUUUCAGUUGAAUUUCUGCCCUAUCAAUUGGUUGGUAAGGUAGUGGCUUACCAAGGUUGUAACGGGUAACGGGGGAUCAGGGUUCGAUUCCGGAGAGGGAGCCUGAGAAACGGCUACCACAUCCAAGGAAGGCAGCAGGCGCGCAAAUUACCCAAUCCAGACAGUGGGAGGUGGCGACGAGAAUUACUGAGUGGUAGCCAUAAUGGUUAUCGACUUAGAAUGAACGUGAUUUAAGAAAUCCGUUGAGUAACAACUGGAGGGCAAGUCUGGUGCCAGCAGCCGCGGUAAUUCCAGCUCCAGUAGCGUACCUCAAAGUUGCUGCGUUUAAAACGCUCGUAGUUGGAUCACAUGGUUGGGUCUAGUGAAAAAACGUGUUAGUACGCUAAAUCCUCAAGUGUAGAUGUGACGGUGUGUUAUCACCGUUGCAAUUUAUAUGUUGUGGAGUACUGCACGUUUUUUGUUAGCUAGGCCCAACUGAUUGCGUAUGGGGAUGGCAAUUGACCUUAAGUGAGUCGAUUGUUGUGUCCCAUGGAGUGUGCCUUGAAUAAAUCAGAGUGCUCAAAGCAGGCUUGAUGCCUGAAUGUUAACAGCAUGGAACGAACAAUUGUGGAAACAUGAUAUUAUCUCCACUGGCAAUGUGCUUAUUUGUAUGUUGUCAUGUGGGGGCAGUAUCAUAGCACCAACCACCAAUAUCGGAUGUUGGUUCCGUAUUGGGGUGAUGAUUAAGAGGAGCGGUUGGGGGCAUUGGUAUUUUGCCGCGAGAGGUGAAAUUCUUGGACCGGCAAAGGACUAACAAAUGCGAAGGCAUUUGCCUAGACCGUAUCCAUUAAUCAAGAACGAUAGUGGGAGGUUCGAAGACGAUCAGAUACCGUCCUAGUUCCCACCGUAAACUAUGCCGACUCGGGAUCAGUUUGGUGCUAUUACCAACGCUCGAAGUUGAUCCCCCUGGGAAACCUGAAGUUUUUCGGUUACGGGGGGAGUAUGGUUGCAAGGCUGAAACUUAAAGGAAUUGACGGAAGGGCACCACCAGGGGUGGAGCCUGCGGCUUAAUUUGACUCAACACGGGGAAACUCACCCGGUCCGGACAUCGAAAGGAUAGACAGAUUGAUAGAUCUUUCUUGAUACGGUGAUUGGUGGUGCAUGGCCGUUCUUAGUUCGUGGAGUGAUCUGUCAGGCCAAUUCCGGUAACGAACGAGACCACAAUCUUCAUUUGAGAAGCAGCAGAAUUCGACAAACGAUUGCCGGCAUGGUAAAACAUGUCGGUAUAUUGUUUCUUGAGAGGCAGAAACGUACCUCUGCUGUGAUUGCUUCACGGUGGUUGCAGUAGAGGGCACCGAUCUCCAUGCUGCCAAGCAGUGCAAGGCUGAGAAGUUGAACACUGUAUCAUGAAGAGACAACUGUGUAUAUUCAAAGACAGAGGAAGUGUGGCAAUAACAGGUC
rnacentral:rRNA from 1 species